GGGUUGUUCAGGAGUUCGAGGAUG
rnacentral:siRNA from 1 species